GGGCCUGUAGCUCAGUGGUCAGAGCCGGCCGCUCAACGGUCUGGUUCCCGGUUCGAGCCCGGGCGGGCCCA
rnacentral:tRNA from 1 species